GGAUGUAAGGGCCAUUCAACUGCAAUAUCUGUCACCCCACUGCUCACCAGGGUUGAUUCAGCUGAUCUAGCUGGCUAGGUAGGUGUCCUCUUCCUCCCUCAUUGCUUCAUGUUCCUCCCUCCAGAAGCUGCAUGCUUGGUAGAAAAGGAUGACCUUCCCAGAUAGAGGAGGAUAGGAUAUGGGAAUAGCUGCCUCCCCCUGUAACCUCCAAACAAGCUCUCAUAUGUGGAAACUAGAUCGAAAUAAGGGGGGAAAGGAGAGGAGGAUCAGAUAUUAUAAAUACUUAAGGAAGAUCAGUAGAGUAUAGGGAGAUUGAGAGGGUCAGU
rfam:Ictidomys tridecemlineatus contig112062, whole genome shotgun sequence.